GAUGAAGAACGUAGCGAAAUGCGAUAAGUAAUGUGAAUUGCAGAAUUCAGUGAAUCAUCGAAUCUUUGAACGCACAUUGCGCCCGUCAGUAUUCUGGCGGGCAUGCCUGUUCGAGCGUCAUUACGCCCCUCAAGUCCCCUGUGGACUUGGUGUUGGGGAUCGGCGAGGCUGGUUUUCCAGCACAGCCGUCCCUUAAAUUAAUUGGCGGUCUCGCCGUGGCCCUCCUCUGCGCAGUAGUAAAACACUCGCAACAGGAGCCCGGCGCGGUCCACUGCCGUAAAACCCCCCAACUUUUUAUAGUUGACCUCGAAUCAGGUAGGACUCCCCGCUGAACUUAAGCAUAUCAAUAAGCGGAGGA
rnacentral:misc_RNA from 1 species